rnacentral:tRNA from 1 species
GCCGGCCUAGCUCAAUUGGUAGAGAAACUGACUUGUAAUCAGUAGGUUGGGGGUUCAAGUCCUCUGGCCGGCACCA